UCGAUGCAACGCGAAGAACCUUACCUACUCUUGACAUCCAGAGAACUUAGCAGAGAUGCUUUGGUGCCUUCGGGAACUCUGAGACAGGUGCUGCAUGGCUGUCGUCAGCUCGUGUUGUGAAAUGUUGGGUUAAGUCCCGCAACGAGCGCAACCCUUAUCCUUUGUUGCCAGCGGUUAGGCCGGGAACUCAAAGGAGACUGCCAGUGAUAAACUGGAGGAAGGUGGGGAUGACGUCAAGUCAUCAUGGCCCUUACGAGUAGGGCUACACACGUGCUACAAUGGCGCAUACAAAGAGAAGCGACCUCGCGAGAGCAAGCGGACCUCAUAAAGUGCGUCGUAGUCCGGAUUGGAGUCUGCAACUCGACUCCAUGAAGUCGGAAUCGCUAGUAAUCGUGGAUCAGAAUGCCACGGUGAAUACGUUCCCGGGCCUUGUACACACCGCCCGUCACACCAUGGGAGUGGGUUGCAAAAGAAGUAGGUAGCUUAACCUUCGGGAGG
rnacentral:rRNA from 1 species